AUGUCUGUUUUGGGUCAUUUGAAUUUAGUAUUAAUGAACCGUUUGCUAUUAUGUCAUUCCAGAUCAGUACACAAGAACCUCUGCUCUCUUCCUCCCCCUCCUCUCCCCCUGUCUGCUAUGGGGGGCUCCUCCUCUAAGAAGACUGUAUUCGGGGGGAGAAAGAAGAAACGGGACUCAGUGUUGACCUGGAGUGAACUGAAAGAGGCACUAUCCAGUAAGAAACAGAAGAGAAGCAUCAUUCUUCCUACUCUGGACAAACUGUCAGUGGAUAACCUGAAGAGGGAGGUCCUUACUCCCAAUAAUACGUUUUCAGUGGCCGGGAAGAGGAAGGAGUCGCUGUCAAUCAAGAGGCUGUCAUUGGGUAACUCUAGGAAGGAGUCCGUGUCACCGAAGAGUCUUUCGCUGGGUAAGAGGAAGAAAGGAGAACAGAAGAUAUUCUCUCUGCUUAACACCAAGAAGGAGUCACCUCCACCAACCAAAAAGAUAUUCUCUCUGCUUAACACCAAGAAGGAGUCACCUCCACCAACCAAAAAGAUAUUCUCUCUGCUUAACACCAAGAAGGAGUCACCUCCACCAACCAAAAAGAUAUUCUCUCUGCUUAACACCAAGAAGGAGUCACCUCCACCAACCAAAAAGAUAUUCUCUCUGCUUAACACCAAGAAGGAGUCACCUCCACCAACCAAAAAGAUAUUCUCUCUGCUUAACACCAAGAAGGAGUCACCUCCACCAACCAAAAAGAUAUUCUCUCUGCUUAACACCAAGAAGGAGUCACCUCCACCAACCAAAAAGAUAUUCUCUCUGAUUAACACCAAGAAGGAAUCACCUCCACCAACCAAAAAGAUAUUCUCUCUGCUUAACACCAAGAAGGAAUCACCUCCACCAACCAAAAAGAUAUUCUCUCUGAUUAACACCAAGAAGGAAUCACCUUUUCCACCACCAGCCAAAAAUAUAUUCUCUCUGGUUAAUAUCAAGAAGGAAUCACCUCCCAAAGAGAGAUUAUCCCUGGCAAAUGUUAACCCCUUACUUUAA
rnacentral:lncRNA from 8 species